UCGGUGGAUGUCAGCCAGCG
rnacentral:miRNA from 1 species